ensembl:lncRNA
CCUCCCUCCAACAAUAGAAAACUGUGUGGUUGUGUUUAGGAGAAGGGGACCUGAUUAGGUCACAGCCUCCCUCCAACAAUAGAAAACUGUGUGGUUGUGUUUAGGAGAAGGGGACCUGACUAGGUCACAGCCUCGCUCCCACAAUAGAAAACUGUGUGGUUGUGUUUAGGGCUAGGUGAUGGAGAGACUGCAUAAACAAAUGGGGGAACCCCCGGGGCUAGACCCAAGAGGCACAGGCCGGUUAGGGGUUAAAGGGUUGGGACAGCGGUCCUAAGACCACUGUCAGUGCACGGUCCAUCGUCAGGCCCGGCUCCGAGGACCCAAAAGUAAACACAGAAUCAAGUUUCCCUUAGUCCCAGUUACCCACAGACAUGGCGCCUCCGCUUUCUCCAUCACUUUGAUGUCGCGUCAUCACCUCCGUCCGGGUCCGGGUACCUCUGCUCGCCUUAGCCGUGGUGCUGGUGCAGG